AUUGAAAGUAUGCAUAAAAAAUGAAGAUGUAACAUUGGGAAACCAUUUCCGGUCAGUCUGAAAAAGAGAUAUUAGAUCAUAGGCUCUCGGCAAAGUAAAAAAUACAUAUGAACUAAUGUUUCCAACUAAACAUUCCUGCAUGUGUAAGUCUGUGAGCGCUUCUUGUCGUUCAUCUGAAAGUCGAAUCAUCGCUUCAUUUCCCCGGCUCCCCAUUUCACCAAAGUUAAAAAGUAAAAAACAUGUUAUAAAACCAAUUGAGUUUCAUGGACAGAUCGAUC
rnacentral:lncRNA from 1 species